GUCACAGUUCCUUCGAUACGCAUAACAACGAUCCCACUGGGGACAAACAAAAGUAGCGUCGUCUCCACCGACCCAGUUGUCAGUGGCAACAUAUAGGAAUCGUGUACAUUUCUUCGUUUCUUCUUUGCUGUUUUCAGUGAGUGUUUUGUUUUCUCUUUGUCCUUGAUCUCGACGAUGUUGUCGUGCUCAUUACCUUACUGAGACGUCUCUUGUGACUGUAGCCAGUAUCACGGAGGAUUUUAUUGGCGUGACAAGGUAGAUCGCCGAGAUCGAGCGUGAAAAACGCUCUGCAUUAGUAGCUCCUGUAGAAUGUUUUCUGGGUUGGCGUAUCCAUGGUCAACAAAACCAAGGUGCAAGACAGCAUGAGAGAUCGUGUAAACGAUGUGAACUCCAAAAGAUAAUCUGGCCAAAUUUAUUGUAACUAGAGAGUGCAAUCGUGCACUGCUUGGGGCCCAUCCCAAUGUCAUCACAUGGCUGUGGUGACUAGUGUAUAUCUGGGAGAAUUUUUCCUCGACUGGUACGGAGUGCAGGUGGAUCGAUUAUGAGAAAUGCGAACAUGUGAAGUUCAAGGCUAGAUGCACUUCACAUUCGGCGUGCGGUCUCAGCGUCUGGGACCUGAUGAAGUCUUGGUUGGAUGAUUAUUCAAGCCUGACACUACUCGACACACCAAUGUUCAUGUCAAUGUAAUUUUUUCAGAGCUGCACUAUUUACGUGUUGAUGCUUACUUCGGUGUUAGCGUGUUUCCCCCGGAUUGUUUCUAUCAUCAUGAUCGUGUGUUCUUGGGCUGAGCGAGCACAUGCACAAGUGUGCAGCUAUAACCCUGUGUAUCUUUGGUUACACUUUGUUCUGCAAUGCAUGUACCUUGUAACAUUAUGUGCUUGCACUGCUUUGUCUGGCCUGCGUAUUUCAGGACUAUUCAGUGCAUUAGACCCAGGUUUGUUCGGUUGCCGGAUGAUCUCUUGUUGCGUCGCUCUGUAUUUGUAUUCAUCAAUUUUUGGGCUUGAGAAUUGAGCUGUUGUGUGGUUCCCUAUAUGAAAACAUCAUGCUGGUGCUCUGUGUUUCGAUUAUCGACUGUCGGAGCAGUCAUGCAUUUAUUAGCAGAACGGUCAAUACUGUAGUCUUUUCA